rnacentral:rRNA from 1 species
UACGGAGGGAGCUAGCGUUGUUCGGAAUUACUGGGCGUAAAGCGCACGUAGGCGGCUUUGUAAGUUAGAGGUGAAAGCCCGGGGCUCAACCCCGGAAUAGCCUUUAAGACUGCAUCGCUUGAAUCCGGGAGGGGUGAGUGGAAUUCCGAGUGUAGAGGUGAAAUUCGUAGAUAUUCGGAAGAACACCAGUGGCGAAGGCGGCUCACUGGACCGGUAUUGACGCUGAGGUGCGAAAGCGUGGGGAGCAAACAGG